rnacentral:rRNA from 1 species
AUUGAACGCUGGCGGCAGGCCUAACACAUGCAAGUCGAACGAGUGGCGGACGGGUGAGUAAUGUCUGGGAAACUGCCUGAUGGAGGGGGAUAACUACUGGAAACGGUAGCUAAUACCGCAUACCAUCGGAUGUGCCCAGAUGGGAUUAGCUAGUAGGUGGGGUAAAGGCUCACCUAGGCGACGAUCCCUAGCUGGUCUGAGAGGAUGACCAGCCACACUGGAACUGAGGAACGGUCCAGACUCCUACGGGAGGCAGCAGUGGGGAAUAUUGCACAAUGGGCGCAAGCCUGAUGCAGCCAUGCCGCGUGGUUGAAGAAGGCCUUCGGGUUGUAAAGCACUUUCAGCGGGGAGGCGUUACCCGCAGAAGAAGCACCGGCUAACUCCGUUCCAGCAGCCGCGGUAAUUC